rnacentral:rRNA from 1 species
UACGGAGGAUGCGAGCGUUAUCCGGAUUUAUUGGGUUUAAAGGGUGCGUAGGCGGGAUGCCAAGUCAACGGUAAAAAUGCGGUGCUCAACGCCGUCGAGCCGUUGAAACUGGCGUUCUUGAGUGGGCGAGAAGUAUGCGGAAUGCGUGGUGUAGCGGUGAAAUGCAUAGAUAUCACGCAGAACUCCGAUUGCGAAGGCAGCAUACCGGCGCCCUACUGACGCUGAGGCACGAAAGCGUGGGUAUCGAACAGG